GCGGGUGUAGCUCAGUGGUAGAGCGCAGUCCUUCCAAGUCUGAUGUCGCGCGUUCGAAUCGCGUCACCCGCU
rnacentral:tRNA from 1 species